UACGAAGGGUGCAAGCGUUAAUCGGAAUUACUGGGCGUAAAGGGUGCGUAGGCGGUUCGUUAAGUCUGUCGUGAAAUCCCCGGGCUCAACCUGGGAAUGGCGAUGGAUACUGGCGAGCUAGAGUAUGGGAGAGGGUAGUGGAAUUCCCGGUGUAGCGGUGAAAUGCGUAGAUAUCGGGAGGAACAUCAGUGGCGAAGGCGGCUACCUGGCCCAAUACUGACACUCAGGUGCGACAGCGUGGGGAGCAAACAGG
rnacentral:rRNA from 1 species